UACAAUAUUUAACAGUAAUGGAAAUCGAACCUAUGCAACCGUAACACUCGCUGGUAGACACGUUACAAUAUUUAUCUCGUCGGCCCUCCCCUCCUCGCCAUUCUCAGACUGUCUUUGUCUCCUCUCGUUCUAACCGCUAUAGCCUCGCCCUCAACAACAAUCGUGCUAAGGGUUAGGGUUUCCAAUUCUUUCCUCUGGUUCUUUCGAGCUGUAAUUUUAUAGGGUUAGGGUUUUCAUUUCGGGCUUUCUCCCCAUGAGCGAUGUUCCCGACUCUCAGAAACUCCAUUUGGCUAGUUGAAUUUCAUUAGGGAUAUGUUCCUCUCUCUGUAUCUCUGUCUGCUUCCAUCUCGUCUGCCUCCUUGGUUGUCUCCUGCCUGUUUCUCGUUAUUCUGAGCGGUUGUUGGAAGCCCGAAUUGAGGAGGCUGUAGUCGAUUUGUUUCUCUGAAGCUCGCCAAAAUAGCUCAGACCACUUAAACCGAUGCAUUGUUGGGAUUAUAGAUGGAGCAAGUCAUGUUCCCCCAUCCAACAUUACAAGGGGUUUCGUAAUUGAAGUGAGUUGUCAACUUUUAGCUGCAAGCAAACUUUAGUGGUAAGUUUACUGUGAAGUAGGGAAACAUUGUUUGUGUGUGUUGUUUUCAUUCCUCUAUUUUGUUUGUUCAUGCUUUAUUACCAGACUUGGUCUGAAUGUGAGACAGGCAAAGAUAUGAAUGUUGUGCAAACAGAAGAUAGUUUUAUAAUGAAGCCUAUUGAUCAAAGAGAGCGCACCAGAAAUCGUAAUGAUGUUCAGACUCGUCGCAUGAAGAACAGAGAACGA